ACCCAAUUCGAACUGCUGGAGCUACCCGUGACGAUGCUCGUUCAAGACAAACAAUCCGGGAACCAACCCGAUCUACCACCGACCCUGCUCGUUCCCGAGAACCAACCCGAGCUACCACCGACCCUGCUCGUUCGCGAGCUACCAAUGAUCCAGUUCGCUCCCGAGACCCAACCCGAGCAACAUAUGAUCCUGCUCGUUUCCGAGAACCUACCCGAUCUACCACCGACCCUGCUCGCUCCCGAGAACCAACCCGAGCUACCACCGACCCUGCUCGUUCGCGAGCUACCAAUGAUCCAGUUCGCUCCCUAGACCCAACCCGAGCAACAUAUGAUCCUGCUCGUUUCCGAGAACCGACCCGAUCUACCACCGACCCUGCUCGUUCUCGAGAACCAACCCGAGCUACCACCGACCCUGCUCGUUCGCGAGCUACCAAUGAUCCAGUUAGCUCCCGAGACCCAACCCGAGCAACAUAUGAUCCUGCUCGUUUCCGAGAACCGACCCGAUCUACCACCGACCCUGCUCGUUCUCGAGAACCAACCCGAGCUACCACCGACCCUGCUCGUUCGCGAGCUACCAAUGAUCCAGUUCGCUCCCGAGACCCAACCCGAGCAACAUAUGAUCCUACUCGUUACCGAGAACCGACCCGAUCUACCCCCGACCCUGCUCGUUCGCGAGAACCAUUCCGAGCUACCAAUGAUCCAGUUCGCUCCCGAGAACCAACCCGGGCUACCACCGACCCUGCUCGUUCGCAAGCUACCAAUGAUCCAGUUCGCUCCCGAGACCCAACCCGAGCAACAUAUGAUCCUGUUCGUUUCCGAGAACCGACCAGAGCUACCAGCGAUCCUGCUCGUUCGCGAGAACCAGUUCGAGCUACCAAUGAUCCAGUUCGCUCCCGAGACCCAACCCGAGCAACAUAUGAUCCUGUUCAUUUCCGAGAACCGACCAGAGCUACCAGCGAUCCUGCUCGUUCACGAGAACCAGACCGAGCCAACCGUGACCCCACUCGUCGGCAAGAACCAAUUAGAGCUACCCCUGAUCCUGUUAGACGUCCUAACAUAACGGAGCUGUUAACCAUUGCUAGAAGCAACCCGAAUGACAAAUCUAAUAUAGUUAACCUGGUAAAUCAAGUUCUUCCAAAAAGGUCGUUCUCGGAGCCAUUACCUCGUCUGUCAACAGAAUCACGACGGCCAUUACUAUGCUAUGCUGGUGAAGAUUCGUGUUUCUCGUACUACAGACGAUCAACAGUAGGACCAUCUUGUUGGUAUGCAAUUGAUGAACCUAAUAACAGAUGCUGUGAUGAGGAUGGGUCUUUCCAGUCUCCUAUCAAUCUGCCUUCAUUUGAUUCCGUCGAUGAUAUAGAAUCGUAUCUCUUUUAUGAAUCAAGUGAACCAAUAUCAGGAAAGCUUGAAAAUAAUGGUGUGUAUCCCAAGUGGGUGGCUGGGAGAGAAUCAACAAUACUGAGAGGGGUUCGAACUCAUUCUAAUCUGGGCUAUUUCCUGGACAAUAUCAACGUUCAUUUUGGUUCUUGGAGCGAGGUCCGUCAAUCUGAACACUUGAUUGAUUCGAAAACUUUUGAUGCCGAGGUGCAUGUGGUGCAUUACCGAGAAGAUUUUUCGAGUUUAGCUGAAGCAAGUCAAUAUUCUGAUGGAAUAGUUACAAUUGCUCUGUUCUUGUCGUAUUCAGAAGGAGAGGAAAACGUGGGGAUAAAGGAAGUUCUGGAGAAAUUAUCGUCAGUAAAGGAUUUCGGAGAGGAAGGAGCUGUCUGUCCGUAUGAAAGUAUUAGAUAUCAGUUUAAUUCUAUGUUGGGUUUUACUGAGACGAGAUCAGGACAAUGUUAUACUAGUGAUCCACAGAGUAAAUUCCCUAAUUACUGUAAAUUACAUUCCAGUGGGGACAAAACAUGUGGUAAUUCUGUGGAGGAUGUUAAAGUGUAUCCUAAUGACAUGUUACCGUCGAAACCCGAGUAUUAUAGCUAUACCGGUAGUAUGACCACACCUCCCUGUUCUGAAGCCGUCAAGUGGUUGGUUGCUGAAAAUCCAAUGUUCAUUAAACUAGACAUUUUACAAGAUUUACACUCGCUUGAAUCUCGGAUUGGAAAUAAGAAGAUAGAUGAUGAUGGUAAUUUGAGACCUCUACAGGAUGCCGCUGGUCGAGAUAUUCGUAGAAUUAAAUAUAAAUCAUUUUAAUUAUAUAAUAAUAAUACAAUGUCGGGCUUCUACAGGAUCAUUCUACAGGAUUUAAAUAUUGUAAUAAAAUAACUAGGCUCAGACUAAGCCCGCUCUGGUCAAUAAUUAUUUUCGACUGGUCAAUAUAUAGGCUGGCUCGGCAUGUAUAUAUAGUGACAGACAAUCUGACACUCUAAAGAUUUCAUAGUUUGGGUAUUUUUCAUAUAAAUAGCAGGUUUUUUUCUUUAAAUGAACACCGUUUCAAAUGUUUGCGGACUGCGGAUGCGACUGUGCCUUAAAUUUGUUCAUAUAAGCCCUUGUUUCUUUGACAUUCGACUAAAACAAUGAGGAUUAAAUAAUUUAUAUAUGGCCAAAGAAUCAAUCUGUAUCCUGUUGAUCAGGGUUUAUUAUGUAUAUAUUGAUGAAAUAUAAACUAACGGAGUUGAUAAAUUACUUGAGCAAUCUGAAUAAAGAUAAAUCCUAUUUUA